rnacentral:sRNA from 1 species
CCCUAGCCCUGAUAGAAGUGGAAAUCCUUUUGCUUUUUCCUUUAAAAAGCAAAAGAUUGAAACGAAUAGCGGGAGAAAGC